UGCUCGUCCAUGAUGGGUGUUGUCACAGGCCGUGUUGAACAAGGGACUAUUAAAGUUGGAGAAGAUGUGGAGAUUUUAGGUUUAAUGCAGGUUAGACAAGUACAGGCAACUUGUACUGCGAAGGAACUACGUGAAAUUCCUUGUAGUUCCCACCUGAUACAUGAUUCGGAUGUCUAAUUAACAUGGGAAGGUGGCACUUGUCAAUGCACGUGGAGGGGCAUGCUCGUGGAGCUACAUAUCUCUUUGGAGAAAUGCAACAAGAAAGGGUUAAAGAGGAUGAAUAUGGAAAAUAAGACAUGUCAGGUAAUCUAUUUAUGAUUCUUGCUGUUUGAUUAUGGACUGUUAUGGUCUAUCCUCAUGGUGGCCUGUCAG